UACGAAGGGGGCGAGCGUUGUUCGGAUUUACUGGGCGUAAAGGGCGCGCAGGCGGCGGACCAAGUCAGGCGUGAAAGCCCCGGGCUUAACCUGGGAACUGCGUCUGGGACUGGUUUGCUAGAGUUCGGGAGAGGAGAGUGGAAUUCCCAGUGUAGAGGUGAAAUUCGUAGAUAUUGGGAGGAACACCAGUGGCGAAGGCGACUUCCUGGCCUGUUCUUGACGCUGAGGCGCGAAAGCUAGGGUAGCAAACGGG
rnacentral:rRNA from 1 species